rnacentral:rRNA from 1 species
UACGGAGGGUGCGAGCGUUGUCCGGAAUCACUGGGCGUAAAGCGCACGCAGGCGGGUCGUUAAGUCAGGGGUGAAAUCCCGAGGCUCAACCUCGGAACUGCCUUUGAUACUGGCGAUCUUUGAGUCCGGGAGAGGUGAGUGGAACUCCGAGUGUAGAGGUGAAAUUCGUAGAUAUUCGGAAGAACACCAGUGGCGAAGGCGGCUCACUGGCCCGGUACUGACGCUCAUGUGCGAAAGCGUGGGGAGCAAACAGG